rnacentral:rRNA from 1 species
GAUGAACGCUGACAGAAUGCUUAACACAUGCAAGUCUACUUGAUUCUACUUCGGUAGUUGAUGGUGGCGGACGGGUGAGUAACGCGUAAAGAAUCUGCCCUUUAGUUUGGGAUAACCUUUGGAAACGAAGGCUAAUACCGGAUAUUAUGGAGACGUCGCAUGGCGACUCCAUGAAAGCUAUAUGCGCUAGAGGAGGACUUUGCGUCCCAUUAGUUAGUUGGUGAGGUAAUGGCUCACCAAGACCGCGAUGGGUAGCCGGCCUGAGAGGGUGAUCGGCCACAAGGGAACUGAGACACGGUCCUUACUCCUACGGGAGGCAGCAGUGGGGAAUAUUGGACAAUGGGCCACAAGCCUGAUCCAGCAAUUCUGUGUGCACGAUGAAGGUCUUCGGAUUGUAAAGUGCUUUCAGUAGGGAAGAAAAAAAUGACGGUACCUACAGAAGAAGCGACGGCUAAAUAUGUGCCAGCAGCCGCCGUAAGAC